rnacentral:rRNA from 1 species
CACGUAGGCGGUCCGGCAAGUCGGGUGUGAAAGCCCUCGGCUUAACUGAGGAAGUGCAAACGAAACUACCGGACUUGAAUACUGAAGAGGAUCGCGGAAUUCCCGGUGUAGAGGUGAAAUUCGUAGAUAUCGGGAGGAACACCAGUGGCGAAGGCGGCGAUCUGGGCAGAUAUUGACGCUGAGGUGCGAAAGCGUGGGGAAGCAAACA